rnacentral:rRNA from 1 species
GAUGAACGCUGGCGGCGUGCUUAACACAUGCAAGUCGAACGGUGGAGGCGGAGCUUGCCCUGCUGGAUCUUUGGCGCACGGGGGUGUAACACGUGAGGAAACCGUCCCUAUCUCUGGGGUAAGCGCUGGAAACGGCGUCUAUUACAGCAUACGAGAUUCUAAAGCGCCUUGAUCAGAAGGAAAGAACGUCGGUCAGGGAUGAGCUCGCGGCCUCUCAGCUUCUUGGUGAGGUAACGGCGCACCAGGGCGACGACGGGUAGCCGGCCUGGGAGGGUGGCCGGCCACACUGGGACUGCGACACGGCCCAGACUCCUACGGGAGGCAGCAGUGGGGAAUAUUGCGCAAUGGGCGAAAGUCUGAGGCGGCAACGCCGCGUGAGGGACAACGGCCUUCGGGUUAUAAACCUCUUUUAGCAGGGAAGAAGCGAAAGUGACGGUACCUGCAGAGAAAGCGCCGGCUAACUACGUG